rnacentral:rRNA from 1 species
GAUGAACGCUGGCGGCGUGCCUAAUACAUGCCAGUCGAGCGAACAGACGGGGAGCUUGCUCCUCUGACGUUAGCGGCGGACGGGUGAGUAACACGUGGAUCACCUACCUAUAAGACUGGGAUAACUUCGGGAAACCGGAGCUAAUACCGGAUAAUAUAUUGAACCGCAUGGUUCAAUAGUGAAAGACGGUUUUGCUGUCACUUAUAGAUGGAUCCGCGCCGCAUUAGCUAGUUGGUAAGGUAACGGCUUACCAAGGCAACGAUGCGUAGCCGACCUGAGAGGGUGAUCGGCCACACUGGAACUGAGACACGGUCCAGACUCCUACGGGAGGCAGCAGUAGGGAAUCUUCGGCAAUGGGCGAAAGCCUGACGGAGCAACGCCGCGUGAGUGAUGAAGGCCUUCGGAUCGUAAAACUCUGUUAUUAGGGAAGAACAAAUGUGUGAGUAACUAUGCACGUCUUGACGGUACCUAAUCAGAAAGCCACGGCUAACUACGUG